rnacentral:lncRNA from 1 species
GAGACCCCACAACCUCCGAGGGCGAACGUCAUGCGAGUACAGGGCACCCCUACCGCACGCACAGCACGCUGCUCAAACAUCGCCAAGACGUAAUCUUCAACUGGCAGCAGUGCCUCCACAUUGCCUACCCGCUCCACCCUGAGCACCUCACCAGCUAGCUAGCCUCCCACCACACCACCCGUGGGAGGAGACCUCAUCUCCUCAGCCUUGUCUGCCAAGAUCCAGAAGCGGUCGAAGGUGAGCGACUUGGGAGCACCAUUCAUUUGUCGGUGAAUGCAUCACCUACGCCUGCUGACGGGAGCCACUGUGUCAGGAGACCUGCUGCCAGCCAUCGCCGAGCGGGACCACGGCCGGGGCCAGAGAUCCAUGCGGCAAGGUAGAGGAGGGUGAGCAGGGAGAGCGGAGUAGAGAGCCAUGUCGUUACCUACUUAAUCAACCAAUAUAUGUCAUCUUCUUUCUAUCGCUCCAAACUUCAAAUCUUUUCCUUUCUUGUAUGACUUCACUAAGAACCAUGAGCAUUUCUUCUUGUUGGUAAGCCUUCUCGAAAUUAUGGAGGUGGAAAUUUUGCCUUCUUGUUCAGUCUUGAUGCCAAUAAUGUAAUGUAAGCUAAUAUUGGGCAACCAUUAUUUGUUAUAACAUUUGGACCUGCAUUUAACUUGGUCAAAUGUGGGUUUCUCUUCCCAGGCUAGAGGUGCAUUCGCAAAUGUAAGACUGGAUAAAUGCCCAACGCCCUCCAUAAAAUGGAAAAUCUAC